GGGGUAGUGGGCGAGCGGAACUCGGAGAUAGUGCGCGGCCGGUUCGCAGGGGCGUGCUUUGCGUGGACUCCGGAGGCAGUUGAGGAAGAAGGUUGCGGGGCUGGACCUGUCAUUCAGUUCGGCCUGGUUCGGUCCGGUUCGGCCGGUCCGGUCUGGUUCGGUGCGGUUUUUCUUUUCUUCUUUUCUAUUUUCUGAUUUUGAACCUCAAAAAUGAUUCAAAGCUCCAAAUCACUCCAAAUAAAUGGCAACAAAAAUUUGU
rnacentral:lncRNA from 1 species